rnacentral:rRNA from 1 species
GACGAACGCUGGCGGCGUGCUUAACACAUGCAAGUCGAGCGGUAAGGCCCUUUCGGGGGUACACGAGCGGCGAACGGGUGAGUAACACGUGGGUGACCUGCCCUCAGCUCUGGGAUAAGCCUGGGAAACCGGGUCUAAUACUGGAUAUGACUCCAUGACGCAUGUUGUGGGGUGGAAAGCCUUGUGCGGCUGAGGAUGGGCCCGCGGCCUAUCAGCUUGUUGGUGGGGUGANGGCCUACCAAGGCGACGAUGGGUAGCUGGUCUGAGAGGAUGGUCAGCCACACUGGGACUGAGAUACGGCCCAGACUCCUACGGGAGGCAGCAGUCGAGAGGCUUCCGCAAUGGGGGAGACCCUGACGGAGCGACGCCGCGUGAGCGAUGAAGG